UCAUCUUUCCAGUACAGUGCUGUUCACCGACUAAGGACCUUUUGUGUGUCUAUGGUCCACGCAUCUGUCUGUAACCAGAAUCUUCACUUUGGAACAGCACCGGCAUCAUAACCGGUCACAUCCGGACCAAGCUUGAUGGCCCCCUCCACCUUAGCCCUCCCGUUGCACAGAGAAGACCCACAGAGUUUGCACAGGCAAAUUAGCUGGCCUUGAAAGCGUCAGCCUUCAUUCAUUUCCUCUUUUGGGAAUCAAACAGUUACUGAAUGUCGAUCGGCUGUGCCAGGUAGACCGUGGGACGAAACAGGAAACAGGGUCAAACUGUCCUUGCCCACUAGUAGCUGGGGUCCUGGACACCGACUGACUCUGGCCAAUCCUGCAAAGUCUUUGAGUUGUGUUUUGGGCCAGCCUCCUUCUUACCAACUCUACUGUUGCUUUCUACUGCAGACUUCCGUGGUCUGGUGCCUUGUUACCUCAACAGCGUCUGCAUCAACUUGUUCACAAGUCUGCUUGAAAUUUUAUCACACCCUCACUGCUUAACAUACUCCAGUAGCUCCUCACUUCCUCAUUAAAUGGCUCGAAGGAAGGGCUGGCCCAAGGCCUAUUGAAAACCUGGGGAGACAGGCUGGGGAGAUGGGCUGGGGAGAUGGGCUGGAGAGAUGGCUCAGUGGUUAAGAGCACGGACUGCUCUUCCAGAGGUCCUGAGUUCAAAUCCCAACAACCACAUGGUGGCUCACAAUCAUCUGUGAUGGGAUUUGAUGCCCUUUUCUGGUGUGUCUGACAUGUCUGACAACAGCUACAGUGUAUACAUAAAGUAAAAAAUAGAUCUUAAAAAAGAAAGAAAGAAAGAGAGAAAGAAAGAAACCAACCCCGGGGAGGAAGCUGCUAACAUGGUCUUCAAAUAUCCAUUCAUCAUAAUGAAUCAAUGAACAUUCAUUCUGCUUUCAAGACUGGAAUAUUUAUUUAGAUCACACACGUGAAAACAUCCUGUGUAUUUUAUACAUUUUUUUAAAAAAAAAGUUUUAUACAUUUUAAAAAGAUUUAUUUUAUUCAUAUGAGGACACUGUAGCUGUCUUCAGACACACCAGAAGAGGGUAUCAAGAUCUCGUUACAGAUGGUUGUGAGCCACUGUGUGGUUGCUGAGAUUUGAACUCAGGACCUCUGGACGAGCAGUCAGUGCUCUAACCACUGAGCAAUCUCUCCAGCCCCAUGUGUCUUUUUAUACACAGAGUCCACACUUCCUGAAAUGAUAUUUUUGCUCUGCCUAACAACAUGUCACGUAGCCUCUUGAUUUUCAUACUGAGGAUAUGCUUUCUGUCUCAUUAAGUAAUCUAACACAUUUGAAUGACACCAUAUUUACCUUGAAGCACGAUAUUUUUCAAAGUCACAUGUACACAGGCUAAAAAUCAAAUAUUAUCAAGGGGCCAUAUGAUAAAAACCAGUAUGAUCCUGCCUAUCCCCACUCCAUACCCUGCUCCCAGAAGUAGCUGUUUAAGAACCGUCUCUUCUACUUAUCUCUGUGUUCCCAGACGGCACGUGCAUGCUCGUUCUUAAGACUAAUUUAUACUCUGUCUGUUAACUUCACAGUAUGAUACACUUAAUCAUUCAACAAAUAAACACUGCUCCCCCGCCAUGUGCCAGACGCUGUUCCGGGAAUUACAAAUCUAGCAGUGAACAAGACAGGCAAGGUCAUUCGGCUCGGGAAACUUGAACUCCGGAAGACAAGCAAUUGGAAAGUAAACCCCUGAAUAAUAUGGGGCGGGGGGGGGGGGGAGACAGUGAUUAAAAAACAAACCAACUGACUUUCAACAGAGUAGCAAUGAAAUGUUCUUCUGAGGAUCUGGGGUGACAUGAGCUGAGCCCCACGUGCUGACAAGGGUCUGCACUCCCUUGGGUGGAAGGGCGCGCUGUGCACUGGGGUUAGGUCUGGAUCUGGGUAACAAAGACCUUACAAGACCGGAUUAGCAAAUGAACUUUGGGCUUUGCUUCUUACAGUAGCCUUGGGACAACCCAUCCAACCCCAAGCUCCUACCUUGUUACACCUAAGCCACAGGUCUGGAAUUGCCCAGGGAAGCUUAGCAUGGAGUUCCAAACCGUAAGGAGAAUGGCAGGGGGGCAGGACACACUUUUUCUGUAUGGACGCCAACUCAGAAAUGUCUCAACUGUUCUGCUCGUGUCUUUUUGGCCAGACCUUAGUCACACUGACGCACUAAGCUGUAAGAGAAAAUUGAAAUGCAGUUUCUAUUCUGGGCACUGAGCUAAAACGCAUGUGAAGAGAGGAUAGAUGUCAGGGGCCAACUCUUUUUCUAUUGAAAUAACAUUUAAGUAGAAGAAAGAGUAGCGAUAAAGUCCUCGAUGAAGUUUUAGACAAAACCAUUUAAAUGAGGGAAAUCAUUUGGGCUUACUGGUAGUUGCAGCACUUGGGGGAGACUGGAACGCAAGGUCAACGUCAACAAGUGAGCUCAAGGUCAGCCUGGGUUCCUUGAGGCCUUACACACACAGGGGUGCCGGAGAGAUGGGAGCAGGCGCAAGGCUCUCACCAAAGGGAAGGUCAAGGAGGCCGCAGGGAUAUGAGCAGGACAUAUUUUUAUUUGUGUUUGUGCCCACGUUCCUGUACCUGUGCAGAGGCACACUGGUGCCACAGAACGCAUGAAGGGAUCGGAAGGAAGUCUCAUGUGUCCGUUCCCUCCUUCCAUUUUUAGACAGGCCGAGUCUCCUCCCCAAUGUAGACAUCAAGCUAGCUGGCCCCUGAACUUGUGGGGAUUCUCCUGCCUUCAUCGCCCAAUAGGAGUGCUGGGAUUGCAGAUGUGUGUUAUAGCUUCCGGGUUCACGUGAGCUCCACAGAACUGAACUCCGGUCCUCACAUUUACGUGUUUGGUCGGUCUUACUACUGUGAAUUUUCAAACCGCAUUCCAAGUAGUAACUGCACCUCGAUUGCAACCUGAGGCAGCAACCAUCUUACCUGUACUUCCUUAGGUCACUUCACACCCCCGGAACACCACUGUGUGUCACACUGUCCUGUCAGGACCCACGAGAAGGCUCAGCGGUUAAGGAAAGUUGCCGCUUCUUCAGAGGACCCAGGUUCCAUCCAUCCUCAGCACCCACGUGGCAGCUCACAAUUGUCCAUCACUGGAGUUCCAGAAGUUCUUGUGACCUCUACGGACAGCAAGCUACUACAAUAUGUACAUAUAUGUACCACGAACACUCAUAUACACAGAAGCAAAAUGUCAUUAAAAUAAAUAAAAUGUAUCCGUUUAUUAAUUUAAGUUAUUCGCAUUGGACCA